GACAGUAGAAGUCGUGGUUUGUGCGCGGCCACGCGCUGGAGCCUCCGCUGCCGGGAGCAAUCAGACCUUCCAGCUGCCUCUCAUGUACUUGUCUGUUGGGGGCUUGUGUUGAUCAGGAGUGAAUUCACAGUCUACCAUGAAUUGGAAGGUUCUUGAGCACGUGCCCCUGCUGCUGUAUAUCUUGGCAGCAAAAACAUUAAUUCUCUGCCUGACAUUUGCUGGGGUGAAAAUGUACCAAAGAAAAAGGUUGGAGGCAAAACAACAAAAACUGGAGGCUGAAAGGAAGAAGCAAUCAGAGAAAAAAGAUAACUGAAGGUCCUAACUGGGACCACCUACUCCCCUUGGAGGGUCCGGAUGGAGUUUCCCCUCUGCGGCUGCCUCUCACUCAUCCUCCACCGCUUUGCUGACAAGGAAGGAAGGACAAUUGGGAGGAGGGAGUCUUGCUUGGCGACCAUCUGGACAAUAUCUCGCCCAUGGCAAGCUGGAUCCCUGUGGAUUACUUUGGUGGGUGGAAACUCGUUGGCACACUAUUUAAUUUGGGCUUUUUGGGGGAUGACUGCACACUGGUUCUCUUUUUUUCUCAGACCUAAAUUUCGACCACUCAACCUUUCAGCCUGCUCACCCCUGCUUAUUGCCAUCCACCUUUGGGCUGGGUUAGACCUAAUCCUCCCCUUGACAAAGCCCUCAAAGUAGCCUUCACAAGAUAAGAGUCGAGACCCCUAACUUACCAACAAAUUUUAAUGAAACUUCUAGUAAACUCAAAGCGCUUUGCCAACAUCCUUAG
rnacentral:sRNA from 1 species